CACGCGUUCCCAUACCGAACACGACCGUUAAGCCUUCCAGCGCCGAUGGUACUUGGACCGAAGGGUCCCGGGAGAGUAGGACGCCGCCAAGC
rnacentral:rRNA from 1 species